ACCUUCACCUUCACACCUUCAUCCUCUCUUUCACCUUCACCCUCCCCUCGCCCCCCCUCAUCCUCUGAGAAUACGUCUUCUUCUCAUGCCCUUCUUUUCUUGUGCCUAACCUAACCUACCCACUCGCCUCCCGUGGUUCCACUCGACUCCCAUUCACUCCUUGUGUCGACGACCUCGGGCUGCCUCCUCCUGAGCCUUAAAAACGCCCACUUGCCCUCACUCAAUUUUUUGGGGGGGUUUCUCCAAACACGCACCAGUCGAACAUCCCUUCAUUACCGCCGUCGACAUUCGAUAUCCUAGACCCUUUUGUCGCUCCUUAACUGGGUCUCGGAAAGGAAAUCAUUCCUGCAGCCAAUUCUUCACUCCUUCAAAGGCUGCCGAGCAGCCCCUACGUCCCUGUCCUGUCUGGAUUUGUCGUCCGCUGUGCUGCUCCUGAAUCGCCUGGCUCGAUUCCGUUCAUUCGAAAUACAAAUUAUAUACAAUACAUGCUGCUUCGGCAUUGAUUCGCGCACGUAGCUAUUUUUGCUUCUUGCUCGCGCUUCAGAGCUAGUUCUCUGAGCUCCAUCCGCUCCCUCUGCAAAUUUGAAGCUCAAUCGACCCCCAAGUCUGUCUGUCCUAGGGGAACAUCGCCGACGCGCGCAACCACCAGUCGAUUCCAUUGCGCUUUGAUAGCGCUCGUUCUUUCUUGUUGAUUUGUUUUAUAUAUCAUACAUAUACAUACAUAUUAAAAAAAGAAAAAAAGGAAACGAAACGAAUAUGGCUCCGAGUCUCCUUAAGUAUUUGACUUUUGCCGUGGGCUUCUUGGCCGCUACCCCCAUCGCGGCUCCCGUGAACGUGGUGGUGGAGAUCGUCACGGAGGUGGUCACGGAGACCGUUGUGACCACCGCUACUGUUGAUGGCAUACCGGGAGGGCCGAAGACAAUCUACCCUACUGGCUAUUCCUCGCCAGCCGGGAUCCGAACAGCCAACUCAACCGGAUACCCAACACCCACUACUACCACUCUACAUGUUUUGCCCGCACAGUUCAAUCAAAACCCUUCAGUCACACCUUAUCCUGAUGUCCCUACAGUUACUGCUCAACCGCCAUCUCCCUCGCCUCCUCCUCUCUCAUAUUCACCACCACCACCACCACCCCCAUCACCAUCACCAUCAACACCACCACCCCC
rnacentral:sRNA from 1 species